CCUAACAGACUUGUAAUGAUUCUUGCGGUUAUGAUUGCUUGAUACAUAGAACAUCUAAGGGACUGA